rnacentral:rRNA from 1 species
GAUGAACGCUAGCGACAGGCUUAACACAUGCAAGUCGAGGGGCAGCGGGGUUGUAGCUUGCUAUAACUGCCGGCGACCGGCGCACGGGUGAGUAACACGUAUGCAACCUGCCCGUUGCAGGGGGAUAAGCGGAAGAAAUUCCGUCUAAUACCGCGUAAUAUACUUUAGGGGCAUCCUUUUAGUAUUAAAGAUUUAUCGGCAACGGAUGGGCAUGCGGCGCAUUAGCUAGUUGGUGAGGUAACGGCUCACCAAGGCAACGAUGCGUAGGGGUUCUGAGAGGAAGGUCCCCCACACUGGUACUGAGACACGGACCAGACUCCUACGGGAGGCAGCAGUGAGGAAUAUUGGUCAAUGGAGGCAACUCUGAACCAGCCAAGUAGCGUGCAGGAUGACGGCCCUAUGGGUUGUAAACUGCUUUUAUGCGGGGAUAAAUGAUCCUACGUGUAGGAUUUUGCAGGUACCGCAUGAAUAAGGACCGGCUAAUUCCGUGCCAGCAGCCG